AGUGAACGCUGGCGGUAGGCCUAACACAUGCAAGUCGAACGGCAGCACAGUAAGAGCUUGCUCUUACGGGUGGCGAGUGGCGGACGGGUGAGGAAUACAUCGGAAUCUACUUUUUCGUGGGGGAUAACGUAGGGAAACUUACGCUAAUACCGCAUACGACCUACGGGUGAAAGCAGGGGAUCUUCGGACCUUACGCGAUUGAAUGAGCCGAUGUCGGAUUAGCUAGUUGGCGGGGUAAAGGCCCACCAAGGCGACGAUCCGUAGCUGGUCUGAGAGGAUGAUCAGCCACACUGGAACUGAGACACGGUCCAGACUCCUACGGGAGGCAGCAGUGGGGAAUAUUGGACAAUGGGCGCAAGCCUGAUCCAGCCAUACCGCGUGGGUGAAGAAGGCCUUCGGGUUGUAAAGCCCUUUUGUUGGGAAAGAAAAGCAGCAGGUUAAUACCCCGCUGUUCUGACGGUACCCAAAGAAUAAACACCGGCUAACUUCGU
rnacentral:rRNA from 1 species